rfam:Homo sapiens chromosome 14, GRCh38 reference primary assembly.
GCCAGGUGUGGUGGCGCACACCUGUAAUCCCAGCUACUUGGGAGGCUGAGGCAGGAGAAUCACUUGAACCUGGGAGGUGGAGGCUGCAGUGAACCAAGAUCGUGCCACUGCACUCCAGCCUGGGUGACAGAGUGAUAUUUCAUCUCAA